CUAUGAACGAACUUAAAUAUAUAACACAUAAACAUACAGAGAAGAUUAGCAUGGCACCUGUGCAAGGAUGACAUGCAAAUUCAUGAAGCAUCCAUAUUUUUU
ensembl:snRNA U6 U6 spliceosomal RNA